rnacentral:piRNA from 1 species
UGCCUCUUGAGUGAUGGGAUUAAAGGCC